rnacentral:rRNA from 1 species
UAGGGAAUCUUCCGCAAUGGGCGAAAGCUUGACGGAGCAACGCCGCGUGAGUGAUGAAGGUCUUCGGAUCGUAAAACUCUGUUAUUAGGGAAGAACAAAUGUGUAAGUAACUAUGCACGUCUUGACGGUACCUAAUCAGAAAGCCACGGCUAACUACGUGCCAGCAGCCGCGGUAAUACGUAGGUGGCAAGCGUUAUCCGGAAUUAUUGGGCGUAAAGCGCGCGUAGGCGGUUUUUUAAGUCUGAUGUGAAAGCCCACGGCUCAACCGUGGAGGGUCAUUGGAAACUGGAAAACUAGAGUGCAGGAGAGGAAAGUGGAAUUCCGUGUGUAGCGGUGAAAUGCGCAGAGAUAUGGAGGAACACCAGGGGCGAAGGCGACUUUCUGGUCUGUAACUGACGCUGAUGUGCGAAAGCGUGGGGAUCAAACAGG